AAGAGAAGGCUUUUUUCGUGUUUGUUGACCAUCUGUCAGGGUGCCAUGGAAACCUUGGGUGUUGGUGCUUGUAGCCACAUAUGUCUAGAGGCAACUGUUUGGCGAACACACAUGACACAGCUUCCCUAUCUCGUCUUAUCCAACCUCAAACCAGGUGCUCGCACAACUGUUCAACAACAAUAAUCCCAAACAGGAAAUGUUGACAGUAAGAUGUCAUUGUCUCUCUUGGUCUGUGAAAAUGUUUUGGUUUUGUCAGCCAAUAAAUCAGUGAAUGGGAAGGUGAAAAAAAUGGAGGCAAAAGUAGCUCUGUAAAUGCCAAAACAAAUUCCAAAUCUGAAAUCUGCUUGUCUUCUCAUGAUCCAGAUUUUAUGUAAAAAGACAGACUUUUACAUUUACUUUACAAUAAAGGAUCUUAAAUUGCUCUAACUCAGUAAAAGGUCAAAGCAAAGUGCUCCAAAUCACUGAAAAAAGGUUUUUAUACAAAUAUUAUAACAAAAGAAAAAUGAAUUACAAAAACAUAUAUCCCACAUUUUAUCAAACCACCAACUAAAUGCAUACAUGGACUUAAAUAGCUCAUUAAAUAACACAUUUUAGUUCAUUUAAGAGGUGCCGUUGCCACAAAUCAUUUUCUACUUUGCAGGAUAUUGCUGUUACAUGGAACAUUCCAAUUUUUUUCGAAUGUUGCUUUGUUACAUUUCUGUUGGAAAGAGAUCUGAUGAUUGUGGAGGCUGUUUGUACAGGAUAUCAGAUGAUUGGAUCUUUGCGACCACAGUGUGGUCUUCUGCUGCUGUAGCCCAUCUGUUUCAAAGUUCAGUAUGUUGUGUUCUCAGAGAUGCUCUUCUGCAUACCUUGGUUGUAAUGACUGGUUAUUUGAGCUACUGUUGGCUUCGUAUCAAUUUAAAGCAGUGUGGCCAGUCUCCUCUCCUCUCAUCUGUCUACAAGCCUAAAUAAAUUGCUACAAUGUGAUUGGCUGGUUAGAAAGUUAGGUUAACAGGUAGUUUAGGAGAUGUAAUGACUAUGAUGGCGAGUGAGUGUAAAUUAAUGAGGUGCUUUUUGUGUUGUUUUCUAAUCUAAAUGGACUAAAACAGUCAGCUGUGCUUUCAUCUAAGAAGAUUUUAGCCAAAAAUCUUGGAAAUUCUGAGUGGAUUUCUUUAUACUGUAACUCGUACCAACACAGGUUCCAGAAAACAGAAGAAAAUGCAUGCACAUCCACUGAAAAAAUGGGGCAGAUGCAGUGGUGAAAUUCAGUCAACACUGUACAUGAAAAAGACCAAGAUGUUGCACACUGCAGGACUCAACUUUUACCUAACAUUUCAAGCAAACCUGUUCUUCAUAACAAAGCACUGCAUUGUGCAUUAGCUAGCUGAUAAUAACUUAGAUUGAUGUCACCCAUGUUUAGAGGAUUACAGUUUUAAAGCCUUUAAUUUAUUUAUUUUUUGGCUAGCUCUGUAAUCUGUAUCAAUAUAAAUAUAUUACAUGAGAUAACAUAAAAUAUACUUCGUGAAAAGCAAACACUGAUUCCUCUCAAUGUUUUUUAUUACAACAUGCCCAAUCUGGAGAAAAAAUUAAGGCUCAGGCAAUCUUCUCAUCCUUUCUUGGCAGAGUAGCUGCAAAUCUCCAUGGAUACCAUUACUGAAAUAUGGGUGAGUCUUUUCACCUACUGGACAACUGGCCAACAAAUUUAGCCGAGAUGGGGAUUGUACCUGAAUAAUUUUUUCAAUGUAAGUCUAAAGUUUCCUCAAAAGACAGAAAGAAAGUAGGGUCACAAUGUCUUUGGCAAGGGCAGAGCAGCUGUCUGAAAUGACAUCUCCUCCAAACAAACCAAGAAAAAGAGUUUAUGACUGUGCAUCACAACCAGAUACAGAAGUGAUGCCUCAGUUUUGCCAAAACAUCUAAAAAUGAAAAGAAAAAAAAAGAAGUGGGCAAAUUCCAGAAUAAUUUUAAGCGCUCCUGACUCCACUGCAAGUCAGCCGACAAAUUUAUCCCUCAUUAAUGAUAAUAAUACCCUUUUAGGGCUAUUUUCAGCCAGUGGUGGUUGCCAUCAGAUACAUUUUUAGCCUGUUUAAAUGCUCUGUGCUUUUUCCAACUCAGUUUCAGAGGGAAAAUAGAUGCUGGUUAGAGAGACCUCAGACCGCAGCAUGGAACUACGUCAGGCCCAUUAAAACACCAGAAGUUCACUAAGUAUAGGGAGCGAUCCUCAGGUCGCAUGCCGUUCCCCUCUCUCCUUUUCGCUCUUAAUGUGUGAUUAUGAGUGUGUGGUGGUUAUGAAGUCCAGGUUCAUUUGUCAAGUUAGCAGGAAGCCUAAAAUUUAGUGGAGCGAUCUAAAAUAUAGGGCUGUAGUACUCAGGUUGUGCUUAGCUGAACCCCCAGGAUAUUACAUUUCUUAAUUAACUUACAGAUUAAAAUCCAGUGUCGAAGGAAAGGUAAACACCUUCAACCCGUGCCGAGGAAAAAGUUGGUAGUUUUCCCCACACCAGGGAGCGGGAUGUCCUCACCCAGCUAUGGUGCACUGCACACUUUAAAGCACCAGUCUUACCACCAGUUUUCAUUUCAGUGUUACAUGUUUAAAAUCAGAGCUUAGCCACAAACACCAGCCUAUCUGAGCAUGAAAUCUACACUUUUAUUUACUAUAAAAGUCACGGUGAUAUUUACACUGUCAGGGUUACGGGAUGUUAAAGGCCAAUUUUGGUAACGCUCACUUCACAAGACUUGUUUUCAAAAUGUCAACACUGAUAUUGAGAUCGUAACGGUUAUGAUGAUGCGUGCUGAUCUGGAGCUGGUCUUUUCUGUUAUACAAGCACAGUUUCUUUGUUUUGUAGUGACUACAGCAGAGCAAAAUGAGAACAAUUUUAAUUGGUUCACUCAUUUCUUUACUU
ensembl:lncRNA